rnacentral:misc_RNA from 2 species
CUGAGUACCGGGUCUCUCAGGCCCUUACUCCCACCCUUUGUGUACCUUACCAAAUUUCAGUUGCUUUGGUGGGACUCUAACAGCCCCCCCCUCGGGGGGGUAGAGCCCACCAUUGGAACUUUUUUAAACUCUUGAUAAUUGAGUUGUCUGAGAACAAAAACAAAUAAAUUA